AUUGAACGCUGGCGGCAGGCCUAACACAUGCAAGUCGAGCGAGCGGCGGACGGGUGAGUAAUGUAUGGGGAUCUGCCUGAUAGAGGGGGAUAACUACUGGAAACGGUGGCUAAUACCGCAUACUAUAGGAUGAACCCAUAUGGGAUUAGCUAGUAGGUGGGGUAAAGGCUCACCUAGGCGACGAUCUCUAGCUGGUCUGAGAGGAUGACCGGCCCCACUGGAACGGAGCCACGGCCCAGACUCCUACGGGAGGCAGCAGUGGGGAAUAUUGCACAAUGGGCGAAAGCCUGAUGCAGCAAUGCCGCGUGUAUGAAGAAGGCCUUAGGGUUGUAAAGUACUUUCGGCGGGGAGGCGUUACCCGCAGAAGAAGCACCGGCUAACUACGUGCCAGCAGCCGCGGUAAUAC
rnacentral:rRNA from 1 species